GUGAGGAAUAUUGGUCAAUGGCCGAGAGGCUGAACCAGCCAAGUAGCGUGCAGGACGACUGCCCUAUGGGUUGUAAACUGCUUUUAUGCGGGAAUAAAGUCAGGUACGCGUACCUGUUUGUAUGUACCGCAUGAAUAAGGACCGGCUAAUUCCGUGCCAGCAGCCGCGGUAAUACGGAAGGUCCGGGCGUUAUCCGGAUUUAUUGGGUUUAAAGGGAGCGCAGGCGGAAGGUUAAGCGUGACGUGAAAUGUGGCGGCUCAACCGCCGAACUGCGUCGCGAACUGGCUUUCUUGAGUGAGUGCGACGUCAGCGGAAUUCGUGGUGUAGCGGUGAAAUGCUUAGAUAUCACGAAGAACCCCGAUUGCGAAGGCAGCUGGCGAGUCCUUAACUGACGCUAAAGCUCGAAGGUGCGGGUAUCGAACAGGAUUAGAAACCCUAGUAGUCC
rnacentral:rRNA from 1 species